rnacentral:misc_RNA from 1 species
UUUCCGUAGGUGAACCUGCGGAAGGAUCAUUAACAAAUCAAGUGUGCUUGCACACAUUAAUCUAUGUGAAUUGUCAAUCUUUUUUUAAAAAAAAAGGAUUGAAAAUUUUGAUUUUUUAAAGCUAAAGGGGUUUUUAUAAACUUUUUUACUUUUUAAAUCAAAAAACAAACGUCUAACUAAAAUGACUGAGUCCCAAAAAUAAAUAAAUAAAUAUAACUUUUAACAAUGGAUCUCUUGGCUCUU